GGGGAUUUAGCUCAGUGGUUCUGGUGCCUGCCUUGCAAGCAGCAAGGGCCUGAGUUCGAUCCCCAGUACCCCCC
rnacentral:tRNA from 1 species